GUAGAUACACUGCAUUAAUUUCUUUAAUUUUGUUUUUUAAUAAUUUUGUCCAUUCCUCUUAAAAGUUUCUAUUGUAAAAGACUGUUGCUUUUGAGAAAUUGAGAGAUACAAUAUUUGUAAUGACUGAUCAACGAAAACGGUUGUGUGCAUAAUUGUAAUCAUGACAUUUUCAUGAGCAACGCUUUAGCAUUGUUUAUUGAGCAUAAUCAGCCUUUUACUCUACUACAAGGACAGUUAACCAGCUGAAAUUAGAUGGAUCUGAUUAGGUUCUACAUAAGGAACUUAUUUAUGCAUGGAGCCCUUUAGAAUCUUGAUCAUUGAACUUUAUAACCAAUUAAAUUAACCACUCUAGCUGCCUGACUUGUGGUUCAUCACACAUUGCUCAGUUCUUCUUCUUUUGUGUAUGCUGCAUUGCUGCUGUAUGCCUCUUCUUCUCUGUUGUCAUAUAUAGUAACCAUCAUGAGAUUUGGAUGUGGCCUGGAGUUACUUGUUGUCAUUGUAGCUGUGAUUCAAUGCAUUGGAUUCAUUAUCACAUAUAUUUUAGCAGCAUAUUAUGGACACCUUACGCCCUUUUUUCCAUACAUAAGCAAUACAGGAGGAAAACCACCAGAGAGCUGCAUCUUUACACUAAUUUGCAGCAUUUCAUCCAUAAUCUUUUUAAUUCUGUUGCAUGAAGGAGAAGGGUAAGCAGGGAAUCUUUUGCUAUGCAAAGUGUAAAAUUUGGUAAUUUAAAUUAUGGAGUAUAAAUCUAGUCCUUGGGUUUUGCCAAUAUUGAAGUAACUUCUUAAGUUUCUAAAAAUAAAUAUGGUUCAAAAUUUAAGUUAAGUAACUCCUUUGCAUGCAGUUGGUGCCAUUCUGGGUUACUCAGAAGCCCUAUGUGUCCCACCAUUAGUCAUUUCUCUCUCUCUCUUCAGGGCUGCUAAUAAUAUAUAUUAGAUAUAUACAAGUAAAGCAAUACUAUCAAAAGGAUAUCAAUAGAAUAAAAUUUUUAAAUCAGUUCACAUUUUUUAUUGGAGCUGUUUCAGUAUUUGGACUUUUACUAGUUGGAUCUUUUCAAGAUCACAACGUUAAUGCCAAAGUUCAUAUGAUUGGAGCUUUUACCUUAUGGAUUUUUGGUAUAUUGCACAUGUGGUUCCAGACAUUGGUAUCAUAUAAAAUAUAUCAUACUGGAUUGACAAGACGUAUUGACAAAGUUAAUAUUUUUGGUAGACUCAUUAUUUCUCUAAUGGCAGUUAUCAUUUCUAUAAUUGGUUUGAUAUCCAUGAAAGUUUCUGAGCAACAAAGAGUACACAAAGAAGGUCAAUAUGAUCCUUUUUAUUGGGAUAGCAGUGUUGUUGGUUAUCCUCUUCAUUUGACUAGUACUAUAUCAGAGUGGUGCUUAGGAUUAACAUUUGUCCUGUUUUUCUUAACAUUUCAUGUUGAUUUCUACAGAGCCAGUUUAAAUGUCUCAUUUGUAUCACCAACACAAAGUCAAGAGGAACAAGUGUCAGUAUCAAUGAACAAGGAGCCUCUCAAUGAGAGGACACCACUUGUAGCUGUAUUAAACAGUAACUAGAUUGAGAAAAGAAACUUUUGUGAUGUACAGUGGAUAAAUUUGUUAUUAUCGCCCUUUCCUCUUAAAUCUAUAAUCAUUUUUCCAAGUUACUCUAUUUUAAAAGACUAUUGUUAUACAAGUAUAAUAAUGAACAAUAAUAGAAUUGUUAUGAAAGAGAAGUACAGUAAUUACUACAAGCAAGGAAGUUUUACUUUCAUGAAACAAGUUGUUUCUAUAAAAAAGCAUGAAUAAAAAUUGUCUACAGUAAAUAAACAAACAAAUAUCAGACUUAGUGGUUUUAAAGUUGCUCCAUACAGAUCCAGAUUAAGCCCCAUUGCAAUAAAAUUAUACUGAAUUGUAGUCACUAUACAUGCA
rnacentral:misc_RNA from 1 species